GGCUGGGUAGCUCAGUUGGUAGAGCAGCGGACUGAAAAUCCGCGUGUCGCCGGUUCAAUUCCGGCCCCAGCCACCA
rnacentral:tRNA from 2 species